rnacentral:rRNA from 1 species
GAGUUUGAUUCUGGCUCAGGAUGAACGCUGGCGGCGUGCUUAACACAUGCAAGUCGAACGAAGCGAGAAGAAAGAAGUUUUUCGAAAUGGAUUUUUUCUUUGCUUAGUGGCGGACGGGUGCGUAACACGUAGGUAACCUGCCCUGUGCUUCGGAAUAACUCCGGGAAACCGGUGCUAAUGCCGAAUAAUAUCGCCUGUCGGCAUCGAGAGGCGAUCAAAGAAUUUUGGCACAGGAUGGGCCUGCGCCGGAUUAGCUGGUUGGUGAGGUAACGGCUCACCAAGGCGACGAUCCGUAGCCGACCUGAGAGGGUGAUCGGCCACACUGGAACUGAGACACGGUCCAGACUCCUACGGGAGGCAGCAGUGGGGAAUAUUGCACAAUGGGGGAAACCCUGAUGCAGCAACCGCNGCGUGAGCGAUGAAGGCUUUCGAGUCGUAAAGCUCUGUCCUAUGGGAAGAUGAUGANCGUACNUAGAG